GGAGUUGUGGCUUAGUGGCAGAGUGCUUGUCUAGCAUGUGCAAGUCAUUGGGUUCGAUUCUCAGAACCUCA
rnacentral:tRNA from 1 species